rnacentral:rRNA from 1 species
AUUGAACGCUGGCGGCAGGCCUAACGCAUGCAAGUCGAACGGUAGCACAGAGGAGCUUGCUCCUUGGGUGACGAGUGGCGGACGGGUGAGUAAUGUCAGGGAAACUGCCCGAUGGAGGGGGAUAACUACUGGAAACGGUAGCUAAUACCGCAUAACGUCGCAAGACCAAAGAGGGGGACCUUCGGGCCUCUUGCCAUCGGAUGUGCCCAGAUGGGAUUAGCUAGUAGGUGGGGUAACGGCUCACCUAGGCGACGAUCCCUAGCUGGUCUGAGAGGAUGACCAGCCACACGGGAACUGAGACACGGUCCAGACUCCUACGGGAGGCAGCAGUGGGGAAUAUUGCACAAUGGGCGCAAGCCUGAUGCAGCCAUGCCGCGUGUAUGAAGAAGGCCUUCGGGUUGUAAAGUACUUUCAGCGAGGAGGAAGGCGUUGUGGUUAAUAACCGCAGCGAUUGACGUUACUCGCAGAAGAAGCACCGGCUAACUCCGUGCCAGCAGCCGCCGUAA